rnacentral:misc_RNA from 1 species
AGAAUUUCUGAAUAUUGAUUUUUGCUAAAACCAAAUGCUGCCUUCAGAUAAUAAAAUAAGACGAUGCUGAUGCCGGACAUCCCCAACUCAUAGAAAAAGGAAACAAAAGAAAUGCCUCUAAGUGUAUGGCUGCUAAAGACUAUUGUUGCCGCAUCCUUCAUUGAUUUAUAUCGUGUUUGAAAAACUUUAAUGAUCUUAAUCAAGAAGGUUGAAUCUUGGUCCCUAGCUGGAGUUCGUUCAAUUGUCUCAACUAGAAAGAAUUGCAUAUAAACUGGGCAACUGAUCAAGAGAACAACUGAAACCAGAAAAAUGUACUUCUCAGGAAGAAAACGUGCCAGAACAUUGCCCAAGAGAUGAGAAGCAGAAAAAAGUCCAGUGAUCCAACUAAAUGCUGCAGCCCUCAUGCUUUCUUUAAUAAAAUCUGCCUACCAAAGGGAUGGAAAAUUUGAUCUCAAUAAUAUUCAUUCACGAUUUCAUAUAAAAGAGAAGUAAUUCUUACCGCAUAAGCAACAGAAAUGCAGAAAACACUCCCUUGACUUAUAAUGUAUGAAAUUGUACGAAGUACAUAGAAUGCAUAAACAAAUCCUUUAGAUUGGUUCCAGGCAAACAAAGCUGCAGCAAUAAGAAAUUUGCCAUAAAAACAAUGAAAUCUGCUGCAUAAUCUUGCAAGCAGCAUUAAUUCUUCACAAACAGGAAAGUAGACAUUUGGAAAGCUCAGUAAAUUGUAUAUUUAUUGAGUAAAAAGAUUGCAAAAUUUUUCUUUCACUAAUUACAGAAAUUGAGCUUUGAACAAAAAUUAAAGACAAAUGUUCUCCAUUCUUUGCAAAAGACCUGGAAUUGCACCUUCCACUUUCCUUCUUCACCAAAUACACUGAAAUUUCAUUAACUAGAUUCCAAAGCAUGUUUCAAAAAUUCAAUCUACUCCACAGGCUCAUGAAUCAACUUCCAGACAAGUGACAAUGUGCAUAGUUCACCUUUAUAAUAAAUGACUUCAGAAAGAAAAUUUUAGAUCAUUAUGUAUAUCAUAUAAAUGAUCCUAAUUUCUGACUGAGAAUGCUCUUUCGAGACAUACCAAAAGGAAUAAUGGAUGUGGAUAUAGUAAGAAGUAGAAAUGGUUUACGCCCAGA